UCCCAUUUUGUUUCCAUUCCUUUGUGCUAAGGAUUCGCAUUCCGUUUCCUUCUAGGUCAUCGAGAACUAGUUCUCUCUUAAUGAAGCUGAUUUGGGGGCUUCAGUAUGCUCAACGCAAACCAACCCUGAUCAUCUCUAGGAGCUGAGCUGUUUUGCUGCUGAGAGACACGAGCAGUCUCUACCCGGGAGCAUUUUUUUCUCCUGUUUCCGAGCUACCUUCCUGCACUUGGCUGCUCACGGGAAUAGCUCAUGCCUCGGGUACCAGCUCUGGUGUGUAAUCAGUUGCAAAUGUUUGGGGGUGGAUGGCUGACGGAUGAGGGACCUUUAUCUCCUCUCCCAUUUCUUACUGUUAGCAAACUGUAGAAAUGAAAUCUCACGUGAGCCAGCCUCCUGCCCUGCUCCAUCCUGCCCUCAUCAGCCCUUUAAAAAUGAUUAAAACAGCAGCCAAGAAGGAUGGUUGUCAGCUGCGAGAACAGUAAGGACAGCCUAGCUCGGGC
rnacentral:lncRNA from 1 species